rnacentral:rRNA from 1 species
GGUAAUGGCCCACCAAGUCGACGAUCGGUAGCCGGACUGAGAGGUUGAACGGCCACAUUGGGACUGAGACACGGCCCAGACUCCUACGGGAGGCAGCAGUGAGGGAUAUUGGUCAAUGGGGGAAACCCUGAACCAGCAACGCCGCGUGAGGGAUGACGGCCUUCGGGUUGUAAACCUCUGUCCUCUGUGAAGAUAAUGACGGUACUUGAGGAGGAAGCCCCGGCUAACUAC